rnacentral:lncRNA from 10 species
AUUGAAACCCCUUGAGGGCAGGCACCAUUCAUGUUUGUAGAUCUAGUGCCUAGUGGAGUGAAAUUAAUUUGCAAAAUGAAUAAAUUAACUAGAUAUUACACCUACCUUUACCACUGAGGAAUAGUUAAAAGUAGAAAAAUAAACAGAAAGGCUAUGGGUUUUGUUCAAGUGACAUGGUGAGUACCCCAGGGAAUGAACAACGAUCAUGGGCCUGUUUGCAUCUGCAUCUUGUGAUCUUCAGGUGAACUUAAGCAAGAUGAAAACAAUGUGGUGAGGUGAAGUAGAAGCCUGUGUCAGGGCUGAAAGAAGUGGGUGGUGUAAAGUCAUAAAAGUUCCUUAUUCUAACUGAAAAAAAAUAAAAACAGGCUUUUUGCUUUUUGGGGGGUUUGUUUUUGUUUUUGUUUUAACCUCAGGGACAUGAAGAGCAAGAAAUGGAAACAAGCGAGCCCCACAGAGAGUUCGGAUUAAUGUGCAGUAAUUGCAUCACUGAUAUCUGUGUCCAGUCACAGUUGGCAUUCAAGAUUCUGUUGACUUUUACUGUUGAAGGCUUCCUUUAAGGGAAGCAAACACAAAUAAAAAGGCUGCCUCUCCACUGUAGCAAAGCUAAGUAAGAUCACUGUCCAACCCAGGAUAUCCAAAUUCAUGGUCAAAAAUCCAAAAGGGCUCAUCCAGCGCUUCUGGAGCAGCAGGGAAGCUUUGCCACAGGAUCCAGCAUCUCAGGGCACAGUAUCUUGCAUGGCUGACUUGAUCUCACUUUCUUCCUCGGAGCAGCUGUGUGGCAAUUCAGAGGUGAAGAGGCAGAUAAUUGGACAGUGGAAUUGAGUCCUGUGUGAUACAGAGCUAAAAAAGAAAUUCCUUCAGUAUCAACAGCAGUGUGGAAAGAACCCAACAAACAAAACUCUGUAUGUACAGCAAAUGAAGCCAAAGGGUGGCUUGAGAACAGUGGAGUUCUGCUUGGAUGUGACGAGACCACCAGCCAGAAAGCUCAGAGGCAUUACUCAUGAUGCAAGGCUGCUGUCAAGUAAUGAUUUAACUUAAAAAUGCCAUCUAUUCUUUUCCCUACCUGCCUACUCAGUACAUUGCAAAUUAACAUGAAAAGUGACUUCAGCACAAAUUGUUUAAUUUGUUUUUGUCAGGAAAGCCCGAGGUGUUGUGGAAACAAGAGACCCAG